GACAGAGGGUGCAAACGUUGUUCGGAAUUACUGGGCGUAAAGCGUGCGUAGGCGGUUAUAUAAGUUAGGAGUGAAAGCCCCGGGCUCAACCUGGGAAUUGCUCUUAAUACUGUAUAACUCGAAUUCGGGAGAGGAUAGCGGAAUUGUCAGUGUAGCAGUGAAAUGCGUAGAUAUUGACAGGAACACCAGUGGCGUAAGCGGCUAUCUGGACCGACAUUGACGCUGAGGCACGAAAGUGUGGGGAUCAAACAGG
rnacentral:rRNA from 1 species